rnacentral:rRNA from 1 species
UACGUAGGGUGCAAGCGUUGUCCGGAAUUAUUGGGCGUAAAGAGCUCGUAGGCGGUUUGUCGCGUCUGCUGUGAAAACUCGGGGCUUAACCCCGGGCCUGCAGUGGGUACGGGCAGACUAGAGUGCGGUAGGGGAGACUGGAAUUCCUGGUGUAGCGGUGAAAAUGCGCAGAUAUCAGGAGGAACACCAGUGGCGAAGGCGACUACCUGGCCUGUUCUUGACGCUGAGGCGCGAAAGCUAGGGGGAGCAAACGGG